rnacentral:lncRNA from 1 species
UUCUCUAAUUAAUUCCUUUUUAGGGAUAAUUGUCUGUAUACCCCUCAUACGUUUGAAAAUAUCCGAUUUACCCCUUCUUUUUUUUUUUCUUUCUAAAAUACCCCUCAUAUGUUCCAACGUUAUUGCAAAAUAUCCCCACAGUUAUCUCCUGUUAAGUUAAAUUGAGUUAAACAUGAGUUAAACAUCUACCACAGUUAAAAAAAAAUAAAAUGCCAAUUUUGCACUUAACUUAAGGGCAAAUAAGAAAUAUUGGUGACGGUAGAGAGGUAUAUUGGAAAAGACCAAAAGUCAAAAUACUUUUUGUGUCCCUGAUUUUAAAGGCAAAUAAGAAAGUCAGUGAUGGUGGAAGGGUAUAUUUGAAAGGGCAAAAUAGUAAUUUACAGAGAUAACAGAGUUCAGUAAUAGAUUUUAACUCUAUGGGUAUAUUAGAGAUAGGUUGGAACGUAGAAAAGGUAUUUUCAAUAUUAGCCUUUUAAGAUUGAUAAAUCGAAAAGUCGGGAACUUUUCAGGAGUAUAUAAGCGCACAAUUGCCCUUUUUUUUUUUAUGUGA